UACAGAGGUCUCAAGCGUUGUUCGGAUUCAUUGGGCGUAAAGGGUGCGUAGGCGGCGCGGUAAGUCGGGUGUGAAAUCUCGGAGCUUAACUCCGAAACUGCAUUCGAUACUGCUGUGCUUGAGGACUGUAGAGGAGAUCGGAAUUCACGGUGUAGCAGUGAAAUGCGUAGAUAUCGUGAGGAAGACCAGUUGCGAAGGCGGAUCUCUGGGCAGUUCCUGACACUGAGGCACGAAGGCCAGGGGAGCAAACGGG
rnacentral:rRNA from 1 species